rnacentral:rRNA from 1 species
UGGGGAAUAUUGGACAAUGGGCGAAAGCCUGAUCCAGCAAUGCCGCGUGAGUGAUGAAGGCCUUAGGGUUGUAAAGCUCUUUUACCAGGGAUGAUAAUGACAGUACCUGGAGAAUAAGCUCCGGCUAACUCCGUGCCAGCAGCCGCGGUAAUACGGAGGGAGCUAGCGUUGUUCGGAAUUACUGGGCGUAAAGCGCGCGUAGGCGGUUUUUCAAGUCAGGGGUGAAAUCCCGGAGCUCAACUCCGGAACUGCCCUUGAAACUGGAUGACUAGAAUCCUGGAGAGGCGAGUGGAAUUCCGAGUGUAGAGGUGAAAUUCGUAGAUAUUCGGAAGAACACCAGUGGCGAAGGCGACUCGCUGGACAGGUAUUGACGCUGAGGUGCGAAAGCGUGGGGAGCAAACAGGAUUAGAUACCCCCGUAGUCC